GGAUGAUCAGCCACACUGGAACUGACACACGGUCCAGACUCCUACGGGAGGCAGCAGUGAGGAAUUUUGCGCAAUGGGGGAAACCCUGACGCAGCAACGCCGCGUGGAGGAUGAAGGCCCUCGGGUCGUAAACUCCUGUCAGAGGGGACGAAAGGACUUAGGGUUAAUACCCUUAGGUAUUGACGGUACCCUACGAGGAAGCCCCGGCUAACUCCGUGCCAGCAGCCGCGGUAAUACGGGGGGGGCAAGCGUUGUUCGGAAUUACUGGGCGUAAAGGGCGCGUAGGCGGCCCAGCGAGUCUUUCGUGAAAUCCCACAGCUCAACUGUGGAACUGCGGAAGAUACUGCAGGGCUUGAGUCCGGGAGAGGGGAGUGGAAUUCCCAGUGUAGCGGUGAAAUGCGUAGAUAUUGGGAGGAACACCGGUGGCGAAGGCGGCUCCCUGGACCGGUACUGACGCUGAGGCGCGAAAGCUAGGGGAGCAAACGGGAUUAGAUACCCCGGUAGUCCUAGCUGUAAACGUUGAGCACUUUGUGUGGCGGGUAUCGACCCCUGCCGUGCAGAAGCUAACGCAUUAAGUGCUCCGCCUGGGGAGUACGGCCGCAAGGCUGAAACUCAAAGGAAUUGACGGGGGCCCGCACAAGCGGUGGAGCAUGUGGUUCAAUUCGACGCAACGCGAAGAACCUUACCUGGAUUUGAACUGCUGGGGACCGGUGCAGAGAUGUACCUUUCCUUCGGGACCCUAGUAGAGGUGCUGCAUGGCUGUCGUCGGCUCGUGUCGUGAGAUGUUGGGUUAAGUCCCGCAACGAGCGCAACCCUUGCCCUCUGUUGCCACCAGGUAAUGCUGAGCACUCUGAGGGGACUGCCGGUGAUAAACCGGAGGAAGGUGGGGAUGACGUCAAGUCCUCAUGGCCUUUAUGUCCAGGGCUACACACGUGCUACAAUGGCUGGUACAAAGGGUUGCAAAACCGUGAGGUGGAGCUAAUCCCAAAAAGCCGGCCCCAGUUCGGAUUGGAGUCUGCAACUCGACUCCAUGAAGUUGGAAUCGCUAGUAAUCGCGGAUCAGCAGGCCGCGGUGAAUACGUUCCCGGGCCUUGUACACACCGCCCGUCACAUCACGAAAGUUGGCUGUACUAGAAGUCGCUAGGCUAACCCGCAAGGGAGGCAGGCGCCGACGGUAUGGUUGAUGAUUGGGGUGAAGUCGUAACAAGGUA
rnacentral:rRNA from 1 species